AGCCCGCCAUGCCUGAGCUUCCCCCCGCCCCCGCCGUGGGCUCCUGUGCGGCCCGAGCCUCCCCGACGAGCGCCGCCCCCUGCUCCACGAUGCCCAGUCCCAUCGACCACCCAAGGGCUGAGGAGUGCGGGCUCACGGUUACAGGAUUCCCAUUUCAGAACUACGACCAUUUGAAAAAUAGAAGAUUUAAAGAUUGACGCAAAGUGCAUGUACCAUGAUACACCAGACGGAGUCUCACUCUCUCGCCCAAGCUGGAGUACAGUGGCGCAAUCUCGGCUCACUGCAAGCUCCGCCUCCCGGGUUCACACCAUUUUCCUGCCUCAGCCUCCCGAUUAGCUAGGACUACAAGCGCCCGCCACCACGCCCGGCUAAUUUUUUGUAUUUUUAGUAGAGACGGCGUUUCACCGUGGUCUCGAUGUCCUGACCUCGUGAUCCACCUGCCUUGGCCUCCCAAAGUGCUGGGAUUACAAGCGUGAGCCACCGUGCCCGGCUGUUAUUUUUUCUUAGGGAACAUAGAUACAGCAUAUCUACAGUGAUUGAGAGAUGGCUUUACUUAAUUCAGGAAGAGAAUUUGAUUUUCUAAUUCUAUUUCUAUGUCUGUCUUUUCAUUUUCCUGACAUUCAAAUUGUUACCAGUCAGAUAAAGUUAUGUAUGAGAAUUAAGAAUUACAAUAUAUUUUAAAAUAUUGGAAAACAUAUUAUUUUAUUGUAAUGCCGAGUGACAUUCAAAUUGUUACUAGUCAGAUAAAGUUAUGUGUGAGAAUUAAGAAUUAUAAUAUAUUUUAAAAUAUUGGAAAACAUAUUGUUUUAUUGUAAUGCAGAGUAAAAAUAAGUUGUAAAAUUAGUUAUCUGUAAGAGUGUGUGCAAAUAGGUAUCAGUUCUAAUUAGAUGAAUGUAGUACAUGUGAAGUAUUUGAGGUAAAAAAUUAAUGUUUUGAAGUCCAUUUUAAAAUUUUUUUUUGAGACAAAGUCUCACCCUGUCAUCCAGGCUGGAGUUCAGUGGCUUGAUGUUAGCUCACUGCAACCUCCACUUCCCAGGCUCAAGCCAUCCUCCCACCUCAGCCUCCUGAGUAACUGGGACUACAGGCAUGCAACACCAUGCCUAGCUAAUUUUUGUAUUUUUUGUAGAGACAGAGUUUUGCCAUGUUGCCCAGCCUGAUCUCGAAUUUUGGGCUCAAGAGAUCCUCCUCCCUCAACCUCCCAAAGUGCUAGGAUUACAGAUGUGAGCCGCCACUCCAGCCCUGAAAUCAAUCUUAAUGUAGUUGUAGAAGCCUUCUUAGUGAAGAUUCCUCAUGUCAUCAGAAUGAGAAAAGUCCUCAGUAUGCUUAUGUACAGGACGAAAUAAUUCAGUUAAAUGAAUGCAGCCUCCAAGACUUCAUUGUGACCUCAAUCUACCUGACAUCUUCACCAUUACCUGGUCCUACAUAAUUGAUCUGCAGACUACAACUCUUUGAAACAUAAAAUCUGCUUUAUCAAAAGAUAAGUGAUUUUACAAGUUUGUGUUAAAAAAAGGAUAAAUAUAUAGAGGUGAUUUACAACAGUAGAUCAGAUAUGUCACAAGAGCAAUUUUUUUAUUAGAAAAAAUCUGAAUAAUGUUUGAAGUAUUGUUAUGUUUGAAAAACUUUGGUUCAUUAGAGAACCUGACAGAUCAGCCCUAAAAAUCUCAAUCUAACAAUAUAAAAUUGAUUUCAAAUUUAUUAUUUUAAUUUAAAAGAUAUAUAUUUUAGUAAAUACAUAAAGAAUGAAUAUUUUUGCAGACUAUUUUUACUAUAUUUACAGUUUUAAUUUACUGGAUUUGCAUAUGUUGUUUAAGUACUUAGGAAUAUUUUCUUGGUAAACUCAUAAACUUGUUCAAUCAGGAAGCAAUUAACUGCUUAAAAUAAAAUCAAACCUAGAAAAUUAAUAAAUAGUUUGAAACAUUUAAAGGAAAAUCAUGAAAUGAGUCUAAAAAUGGAACUAUUUAUAAGAAAUGUAUACAUGCAAACAUUAAUCAUGCUUAUAAAUGGAUUGAUUUUAUUUUACAUAAAACUUACUUUUUUAACUUGAAAUUAAAAGAUAAAAAUAAGUUUCUUAAGUCUAUAAUCUUGAUAAACUGUGAUUCACUUAAACACAAGCAAUUCUUUUUAAGCAAUAGUUGCUGCUCUUUGAUAUUAACUAUCUCACAUUGAUAUCUAAUGGAUAAAAAAGUUGUUUCUAAGUAUAUGAAACGAUUGCCUGUGUGUGACAAAUUUAUAUCAUUGCUUUUAUGAAUGUUUAAAAUUUCCAUCUUCUUUUAAUAUAGUAAGAAAAUAGUUCUUUUCUGCUAAUUCUUGGAGAAAAUUGGUUCUUUUCUCCAUUCCCAAAGCUAUAGCUGUUUUGAGCAUAAAGUCAAAAUAAAAAAGAUUAGAAAUGA
rnacentral:lncRNA from 1 species